UACGUAGGGGGCGAGCGUUGUCCGGAGUUACCGGGCGUAAAGCGCUUGUAGGCGGUCCACCAAGUUUGGGGUGACAGUUGCCGACUUAAUCGGCAAAGUGCCUCAAAGACUGGCGGACUUGAGGGCCACAGAGGGACAUGGAACUCCAGGUGUAGUGGUGAAAUGCGUAGAUAUCUGGAAGAACACCAAAGGCGAAGGCAGUGUCCUGGGUGGUCGCUGACGCUGAGAGGCGAAAGCCAGGGGAGCGAACGGG
rnacentral:rRNA from 1 species